rnacentral:rRNA from 1 species
CAGCCGCCGCGGGAAUACGGAGGGGGCUAGCGUUGUUCGGAAUUACUGGGCGUAAAGCGCACGUAGGCGGCUUGGUAAGUUAGAGGUGAAAGCCCGGAGCUCAACUCCGGAAUUGCCUUUAAGACUGCCGAGCUAGUAGGUGAGAGAGGUAAGUGGAAUUCCGAGUGUAGAGGUGAAAUUCGUAGAUAUUCGGAAGAACACCAGUGGCGAAGGCGGCUUACUGGCUCAUUCUAGACGCUGAGGUGCGAAAGCGUGGGGAGCAAACAGGAUUAGAUACCCGCGUAGUCCCUGUCUCUUAUAC